rnacentral:rRNA from 1 species
UACGUAGGGCGCAAGCGUUGUCCGGAAUUAUUGGGCGUAAAGAGCGUGUAGGCGGCCAGGUAGGUCUGCUGUGAAAACUCGAGGCUCAACCUCGAGACGUCGGCGGAAACCAUCUGGCUAGAGUCCGGAAGAGGAGAGUGGAAUUCCUGGUGUAGCGGUGAAAUGCGCAGAUAUCAGGAGGAACACCGGUGGCGAAGGCGGGUCUCUGGGCCGAUACUGACGCUGAGGAGCGAAAGCGUGGGGAGCGAACAGG